UACGGAGGGUGCAAGCGUUGUCCGGAUUCAUUGGGUUUAAAGGGUGCGCAGGCGGGCGAUUAAGUCAGGGGUGAAAGACGGUUGCUCAACAAUCGCAGUGCCUUUGAUACUGGUUGUCUUGGGUGACCUUGAGGUAGGCGGAAUGGGUGGUGUAGCGGUGAAAUGCGUAGAUAUCUGCAGGAACACCCGUGGCGAAAGCGGCGCGCUGGACCACAACUGACGCUGAGGAACGAAAGCUAGGGGAGCAAACAGG
rnacentral:rRNA from 1 species